GGGACCUUCUGGGUCCGAAAUGAGAGUAGAAAGCAGGAUCCAGGAGUCUGAAUGUGAGGGGUUCUCUUUCAAAGGAAGAGGUGAUUGCUAGAGAUGAACAGAUCAGGAGUGUCUGCUACUCUGUUUUAGUUCAUUGCUGGCAGGAAGAAGUCUGAGAAAGAAAACCAGAAGAUCUCAGGCGGCUGGAAAGACUUUCAGGAAGCCUGCUGAGAAUGUAGCCAGAGACAAAAGCAUCUCCAGCAUGACGUCAAGUGCAUCUGCUCCUAUCUCCGUUCCUAUCAAAAACGAAGCUUACCCACCAGCCUGUGCCCCCACCGUGGAAAGUCAACACUAGGACAGAAGGCUUUAUUCACCUUCCUGUGGUCUGAGAUGGAAAACGCAGUUCACCUCACGGAGUUUGGAACUGCUUGCUACAGGGAUUUACUUAUUUAUGAGACACCUGGGUGACUCAGUGGUCGAUCAUCUGCCUUUGGUUCCAGUCAUGAUCCAGGGUUCCUGGGAUCAAGUCCCACAUCAGGCUCCCUCCAGGGAGCCUGCUUUCUCCCUCUGCCUAUGUCUGCCUCUCUGUCUCUGUGUCUCUCAUGAAUAAACAAAUAAAAUCUUCCAAAAAAAAAAGUGAUAUGUGAAAUGUGAAAGAAAAAUUUGAGAAUCCAUAAAUAGGCAAAAAAAAAAUGGUGAUAUAUGAGCAAGAAAGCAGGGGGCUGUGAGCUCUAACUUCCUACAUGGGAAGGAACCAGGUAACAGUACAGACUUCCCAACACACAGCAUCAGACCUUUAAAAUGCUGAGUCUCAGUAAGAAAAGAAAAAUCCUGUCCUUCUCUGUACAAAAUUAUGUUCUCUCUACAUUUAAAAGAGACAAAAUAGUGGGGAGGGCUCCAAAAUGUCAGAAUUACCCAGUACAGCUGCUCAGUGUUAUAAUGCACAACUCUAGAGUGUGUUCUCACAUAAGACUGUGAUGUGAAUGGCUCCCCCUGGAGUUGAACAGUGCACAACUCGUACAACCCUACCAGGCAGCCAAGAGUAUAACGAUUAAGAGUACAGUCCUUGGAGCCAAACAAGUGUAGGGUCUAGUUCCAGAUCUAAUCUCAGGCUAUAUAACCUGGGCAGGUUAUUUAACCUCCCUGAACCUCAAUUUCCUUAAGAGGACACGUGUAUUCCUACGGCCUAGUUCAGUGCCUGGCACACUGUGGUUCUCAAUACAUAUGCGUUAAAUGAAUGUAAAAGUGAGCUAACACCUGCCUUAUAAGGUGGUGGUGAGGUGUCAAUGAAUUAACAU